UUUUCCUACUUUCUAUUUCCAUUUUAUUAUUAUUUUUGUAUAAGGAGUUCACUUGAACUUGCAUGCUAUUAUUCUCAAUUUUUGUAUUUUUCAUUGAUCUUGCAGGAGCGCCAUCUUGGAGAUAUGAAUAAGCAACUUAGGCUCAAGGUUUUGAAAUAUAACAUACACCAAACAUUUCAGCAUAGGAAUUAUUAUUGCAACAAUUCUAGCUACAGAGGAUACAUGCCUCUUGUCAUAUUUGUUUAAUUAAUUUAAUUAAUGAACACAUUUUUAAAUUAAUUUAUUUUCUUGAAAAAUUAAACUUCAAUUUUCAGCUUGAGGCAGAAGGGUUCAAUCUAAAAGCUAUGGAAAGCUUGUGGAGUUCAACUUCAGCUGCUACAAACAACAACUUCAUGGUUUUUUCUUGGACUGAAACUUGAGUCAAGUAUUAUACUACUGGUGUCAAUUAUUUUAUAAAAGCAAUUUAAAAAUCAUAGACUAUAUAUAUAGUAGGGAUUUCUAUCAAUAGUAACUGACAUGUUUACAUUCUAUGGGAAAAAGAGAAGUCACGCCCCUUGAUCUUAGUGCAAUAACCAAAUUAAAAGUUUAUCUAUUUAGCUUUAUCUAAUGUUGCUUUCUUAGUUUCUUUCAAUAGGUCACUUUCACACUAUCAUGUGCAUAUGAUGAGAAACCUUGAAUUUGAUGUUAAUUUGAACGGACUCAUAGUAGUUUUCAUUCUUAUUUUAUUUUGUUUUCUCCCUCAACACCAAAAUUAUCUUUCAGUCUGAAGAAUCGUUGGUGGAGCUGCUGCAAAAUCUCGCAGACAUAGAUAUUACAUUCCAAGGUUGAAGAUUAACAACCAGCAUAAUGUUGAUGAGUAAGCACUUGUUGUGAAUUGAAGCCUCUUCUCUUCUUCAACUCAAUGACAGUUCUUGAUUGCUUAAUUGAUCAAAGACUUGUAUAAAGUAUCCAGUCACUGAAUUGAAUCUGAAUCACUUGCUUUUAGACU